rnacentral:rRNA from 1 species
UACAGAGGGUGCAAGCGUUAAUCGGACUUACUGGGCGUAAAGCGUGCGUAGACGGUUACGUAAGUCGGGUGUGAAAGCCCCGGGCUCAACCUGGGAAUUGCAUUCGAGACUGUGUAGCUAGGGUGCGGAAGAGGGAAGCGGAAUUUCCGGUGUAGCGGUGAAAUGCGCAGAUAUCAGGAGGAACACCGGUGGCGAAGGCGACUUCCUGGCCUGUUCUUGACGCUGAGGCGCGAAAGCUAGGGUAGCAAACGGG